CCAGUGGUAAGACCGGCGAGAAAAACCAGAGGUGGACACGCACGUCCCAUCGGGAGUUAAAUUAACGCGGCACUGCUGCGCGUUAUCGAAAAUCCAAUCCGCGUGUUCACGCAAAAUAUUUUAACUCCACUUUACACAAGAUCUGGUGGUAGUCCCUGGGGCACUGAAUAUCGUUGGCUUAGACAGAGCGUGCCAAUCUCCGGUUACGUGAGAUGUUAUAUACGUACGUUCAAGAAGAAGCAUACAGAAGAAGAAAGGUUUUUUUCUCUCAGGUCAAACGUACUGAAGCCACACGGCACGUGCUAUCCACAUGUCAUUUUUCUUGCGCCCAUUCAUCAAAAUCGUGUCAUUUUCGAUUUGACGCUUGUUACUUUAUCCUGACAGUCAUAACUUUUAUUUUCUUCACCGCAAAACAAAUUUAAUAAACGUUAAAUUGUUAUACACAUAAAUUGAAAAAUAUUUAUCAUCAUACUAUUUAAUAAACAAUUUAUCAAAUAUU